rnacentral:piRNA from 1 species
UAGCGUACAUGUGUUGCAGAAGGUGCAA